UGGGGAAUAUUGCACAAUGGGGGAAACCCUGAUGCAGCGACGCCGCGUGAGCGAUGAAGGCUUUCGAGUCGUAAAGCUCUGUCCUAUGGGAAGAUAAUGACGGUACCAUAGAAGAAAGCCCCGGCUAACUACGUGCCAGCAGCCGCGGUAAUACGUAGGUGGCAAGCGUUGUCCGGAUUUAUUGGGCGUAAAGGGGGCGCAGGCUGCUUCUUAAGUCUGAUGUGAAAGCCCACGGCUUAACCGUGGAAGUGCAUUGGAAACUGGGAAGCUUGAGUACAGAAGAGGAAAGUGGAACUCCAUGUGUAGCGAUGGAAUGCGUAGAUAUAUGGAAGAACACCAGUGGCGAAAGCGACUUUCUGGUCUGUCACUGACGCUGAGGCCCGAAAGCGUGGGUAGCAAACAGG
rnacentral:rRNA from 1 species